rnacentral:lncRNA from 1 species
CCCGAGCUUCCCAACCGGCUCCUCUGCUCCACCACCUCCUCCCCCUCCGCAGCCGCCGCCAGCAGGGUCGCCAGAGCUCAGAAAUCGCCAUGGGGGGAGAUUGGGAGGUCGAGGACGAAGGUGAAGAACAGCGACAUGUUUGCUAUCCAAUAGAUAUACAUACCCGACAUGCAUUAUUCUCAGACAACAGAACACAAUCAUGUUUGCUAAUUAAGAUAUCAUCUAACAAUCAUUUAAAUUCUCUCUUUUUCACUUUUUAACUAUUUUGUUAGGUAGGUAUGGCACUUGAAGAAAGAAGAUGGACAGAUGGAUCACUGAAGCAAGAAAAAAAAAAAGACGCAUGGAUAUAUCAUUGAAGCAACAAGAAGAAAGUAGAUAUUGCCAAUCAGGUCUAUACAUUCUCAAGUGUUCCCACCUCUCCUGAUUGCACCAUCUUUGCCGUGUCCCGUGUUUACUCUUCGACCAUAAAAGGUAAGUUUACGCUGUGUAGGUGACCAGAAGUGGGCCUCAAGGAUGCUUUUUUAACAGUGUCGAUGCUUCGCUCGGUACCUUUCAUGUCGUCAGUCGUUGCAAUUGUGGUGAUGGUCAAUGUAGCUGUGGUUGCGAGAGCAUGAUCUUUAUGUGGGAUCGUAACAAGUUAUUGUGUUGUGAUUUUGUGAAGGAGGAAGUAGUUGUGAAGGAGCUUGCCGAGGUAGGAUUUGGUUAAGUGGAAAAAAUCCGAGACGUUUAAGGAGAUGAAGAGGUUCCAUCAAAAUGAAUGGUUUCAUAAAUUUGGAGAGAAGGGCUUCAUCGUGUUUUCAUGUUCUUUCAUUGGAAAAUUCGAUUCACGAGAAUAUGUAAGCAGUUUCAGCUGGUGAUGGC